CCCAUCUUAUGGUGAUUCAUUAAUUCUCUUUUUUUAUAUUUUUUUUUGGACUGUUGCAAAUAUUCUAAUUGUAUGCCACCUUUGAUGCUCAUUAUUAACAUUAUUGUUUGAUUUAAAGUGGCAACAGGAAUGUUAGGGCCACAGUUACAUUUAUACCUUUCCCUUCAUAUUCAGACAUGAUCAAUAACCAAGUCAUUAAAAAAUAUUAAUUAUUUAGGUUAUUAAUUAAUUUAUUAAAUACUAACUACAAGUUAAAAUAUGUAAUUAAUAAUAAUGUUAUAAUAAUCAUGUGGAGUUCACUCUCUGAGAACUCCAUAUGGUUUCAGUUCAGCUUCUAACGUGUUCCAUGCUGAGGGUGAAGCUAGAAAACGGAAUGCUCUUUUCUCAGUCCUGAGACAUGGAGACGACAGAUGGGAAAUAUUUCCUGGAACGUAAAGCAAAGCUCAUAUUUGUUCUUUGAAGAGAAGUGCAAAAAAAAAUAAUUUCAAUAUUCAUCCAUCAAGCCGGCCAGAUUAAACACCCUAGCGGGCCUUUUUUGGCCCGCGGGCCGUAUGUUUAACACCCCCUGGUUUAAAUGUGAACAGUCCGUUCUGAGCCCUCGGCUGGGGUCCAUUAACUCCUCUCUGAGUGGAAUGGCUCCUCUCUGGAGCCCCGUUCUCUUAAACUCCUCUGAACUCUGACUGAUAUUUGGCGCAUCGUGGCUGAACUCAGACGACAGGGAAUUAUGAUGUGAUGCUAAUGAGGCUAAAGCAGAUAAGUGAGCGCAGAAGCCAACGAUGGUGAGAGCACAUCAAAGGAGCUUCAUUUAGCCUCCACGAGCUCUAAUUAAUAACCGUCUUUGUCGUCUUUGUGCCGACAGGAGAGAGCGCCGUGUCUCACUUCAGUCGCUGUGUGAUGUGUGUGUCGCAGUCUCGCAAACUGGCACAAAUCCUGGGAAAAAGUAGAGGCCUCUAGAUUUCUGUGUAAAUCCUGCUGAGUCUCCACCAAAUUUAAUCCCUCACUUAAAAUGCAGGGGAUGUUGCUGCAGCAGUUUCAUUGUCCGAGACUUAAAGUCGGGAUAAAAAUGAAAAAAUAUUUCUCCGAUCUUUGCCUUGGGGGGAAAAAAAAAUAAAUUGUAAGACAGAUCUGGGGAUAUUUAAGAAAAAACUCCCAGCAGCAGCAACCUUCAACUCAGAGUAAAAAAAAACAAACAAAUAUGUCUUCAAAGUUAUUGACUGUGUCAUGAUUUCACUGUGUUUAAAAGUUCUGUGGUCUCUCUGUUGGUUCCACACAUCUGUUACAUCGCAUUACAUCACAUUCUUCAUGAAAACAUCAACCGAUGUUAUAAAAAAGUAAAAUCAAAAGUGAGAGCUAACAGCGUGUCUGUGGCUCAUCCUUCGUCUGCGAACUCUGAAAUGCCAAGAAUCGUAAAUUAUUUUCAGCGAUUGUGACCGUGUGUGAAGUUGUGAAGUGUACUCUCAUCCCUUCUGUACGUAUUUCAUCUCAUAUUUUUCCGCAGUACUUGACUGCUUUUCUGCUGCUGUGCUUACUUCCAGCCUCUAUCACCUAUUCAUCUUCUUCCAUUUCAUCAUUUUCACGGUUGUGGAGUGGAAGUGGAGCAGAUCCCAGCGUCCGUCAGGCCAGGCUGUGGUACAGACUGGACACUUCCCUGAUCCAUCACGGCUGGGGGAGAAAAAAUGAACCUGGGAACCAGUGAUUGAGCACCACCCACUACUCCACCGUACGCUCCUGCUCCUCACAAUCUGGG